UGCCUGGAGUGAAGAUUCUGCCCAUUGGUCAAGAGACCUCCCUCUCAGAUGCUGGCUCUGCCCCUGCCUUUGGGGGUCGACCCUUGUACUCGCAGGACCUUAGGUGACUCUGACUUUGUCAAAGGAAAAAUUUCUGCAUGUGCACACACAGAUCUUGGAAGUUUAUUCAUCUCAGCAGAGGCAGACAGGAGCAUCAACAGCCUUGGGGACAGCAGCAGUGGUGAUUCUACUUCUCUGAUCAUCCAGGAAGCCAACCUGCCUGAGGACGAGUCAUACUCUGUCCUCCCACCCCAGGCCAGAGAGUGGUAUCUGUCUGUCCACAAGUUGGAUCUGAAUGAUGCAGUGUUGCAAUCCCAUUUUAUAAAUGAGGCAACCAAAACUCGAACAGGACCAUAUUGCGACUGAAACAAGGCAUAACAGGUCUUUGACUGGCUAUCCUGUGGGUGUGGACUCAGGCUAGCCUGCGCAAAGUGGUGAGCAAGGUGGUUGGGAAAAUCAAAGGAGGGGGUAAGGUAGUGGCAGGUAACUAUCGAUAAUCUGCUCUUCUUCACAGAAAGACAGGCAAUUAGAUUGAAAAAUACCUGUGAUUCAAAGAAGUCACAAGUCACAGAGACAAACUUUUCCCAGUGUGUUCGAGUCAGAGAACCUUUGCAAAGACCAACAGGCUAAAAGAGAAAAUACAAUGUCAUAUGGAGAAGCUUUGAGAACACUAUGCUAAGUGAAAGAAGCCAGA
rnacentral:antisense_RNA from 1 species